UGCUCCCGCGUCGCACAAAGUUCGUUUUGCGUCUAUUUCGCGCCAACAAGACUCAGGCUUGUCCCGACACUCUCCAGAACUGUCGACAAGUCUUUACCGCCAAACACCAGGGAUCUCACAGAACUUGUAUGAGUUGAUGCUUUCUAUUAUGCAUGCAACGGAGUUUUAUGAAUCUUCAGUAUUUGAAUUUAUAUAUUCAUGCGUUGUGAUUUUUUAUCCCUCUAGAUAGUCGAUUUUCGAAAAUGGAGUUUCUGAGUGGGAAACAGUUUUAAAAGAUUUUCGAAUAAUUUUCAUGGAUGAACAAAUAGAGUUUAAAAAUAAAGCUUCCGUAUAUGGAGUACUUUUAAAUAGCAUGAUUGUUGUAAUGUGCAUCGCAUUAUCCAGCGCCUAAAGAGUGUUUAGAGGAUAUAUCAUCUUUAAGGAUCGCUAGCUGUAUGCAAUUGCAUCGCAUCAAUUGUUUGUGAAUUAGUGAAUAUAGGUUGUGAGUUGUGAUCCUAUUAUUGUUAUCGUUGGGUACGUUGGGUAUGCCGUGCAAAUAUAAAGGAGACUCUGUCCAUGUGAGCAGAGAAACAUUGUGCUUGUGGCAGAUCUGUACGCCACAAGGGCUAAGUUGAAUUCAAAAAAAAAAUGGCACGUUUUCCGCAAUUCUGAUUUCUAAAAUAGUAUCUAUUACAAAAAGGCUUUAAAAAUCCGCCCGGGGCGUGACAAUCCAUCAAUUGAUUCGAGUUUGAAGUGUUCAAUACUCUUAGCUCUCUACUAUUUCUGUAAGCUUCGUGAAAUUUAUAGUUGGGAUACUAUAUUUUUAUGAGUAUAAAGCAUUUUAUCCUCAUAAGCCUUUUUGAUAGUGAUGCUUCCAAAUUGAUGAUCAUAUCAUUAAAUAUAAUUUAAAGCAUUUAAAAUUUUUUAAAAAUAAAUUUCAUAAUUUUUAAAAUUAUAUUAAAGUCCAUCAAGCGGGUAUAAAAUGAACAAUCAAAAUUAAACGAUCUUCAAAAAAUAGAUGAUAGGAUUCUUUAAUUUAAGGUCAAAGUUAUUGAUUUAUAUCUAGAUAAUAAAUAGAAUUUUCUAUCAAAAGUUCAACCAAUUUUAGGGCAUGUUUGGCCUAACUUCUGGAAAAGUGUUUUCUGCAUAAGUGAGUUUAGUUUAAAGAAUUGAUUUUGGUGAAAAGCUGUAAAGCGUUUGGCUGAGUUUAGGCAAAAGUUAUUUUUCUGAAGUGAUUUUUUACAAUUGUUUGCUAAAAAAAUUUUAAUGAUUAUAUAUAUUAAUAUUUUUACUAAUUUCUUUUUAAAAUAAUUUAAAAUUAAAAUUAAAAUUUGAAUUAAAAUUAAAAUUUUAAAUUUGAAUUAAAAGUAUAAUUUUUAAUUUUCAAAUUUGUAUAAAAAAUAAAUUUGAAAUUUCAAAAUUUUAAAAUUUUAAAUUAGAAAUUUUUAAAUGUAAAUUUAAAUUUUUAAUUUUUGAAUAUGAAUUUAUAUUUUAAAUUUCAAAUUUAAAAUCUAAAUUUAAAUUUUCAAUUAAAUUUAAUAUUUGAAAUUGGUCAAAUUCAAAUUUUAAAAUUUAAAAUUUAAUUAUAAUUCAGAUUUUUAAUUAAAUUUUAAUUUUAAAUUUAAAUUUUAAAUUUUAAUUUGAAAUUUUGAAUUUUGAUUUUAAAUUUUGAAUUUUGAAUUUUGAAUUUGAUUUUGAAUUUUAAAUUUUAAACUUUUAUAAUUUUAAUUUUAAUUUUGAAUUUUUGAAUUUUAAUUUUAAACAUUUUAAUUUAAAUUUAAAUUUUUAAUUUUAAUUUUUAUUUUUAUUUUCUUAUUUUUAAUUUUCAAAUGUAUUUAAACAUUUAAAUUUUAAAUUUUAAAUUUUAAAUUUUAAAUUUAAAUUUUGUAAUUUGAAAAUUAAAACUUGUAAUUUUAAAAUUUAAAAUUUGAAAUUAAAUCUAAAAUAAAAAUAAAAAUUUUAAGUUUGAAUCCAAAAUUAGAAUCAGUUUUGGAGAAGUAGAUUUUGUCUGCUUUUGCUUCUGGGGCCUUCAAAAUCAGUUUUCUGAUUUUAAAAAAAAAAAUCAGAUUUUUCAUAUGUCGUUUCCAAACGCUCUACUAAACUCAAAAUUGAUUUUGGGUUUAGAAUCAUUUUUGAGAAGCUAGGCCAAACACUCUCUUAAUUUUUGUUAUAUUAGCAAGUAUUUCAUAUCGACCGUUAUAAAUUAUCAAUUUUAAAAUAUUUUAAUCGUAAGAUACAAAAUGUUAAAAAAUUAUAAAAUUCAAUUUUAAAAAUUUUAAAUACUCUUAUUCAUAUUUAACGUUAUGGAUUAUCGGCUCGAAAGCUCUAUUAUCGAAAUACAAAGGUAAAUGGAUAUCUAUUCUUUCUACAUUAAAGGAGGGUUUGGAGGGACCAAAAGGUGACAAGUGUCCCAACCCCGAACCCUCCUUUACUCUCCCUCUCGCUCUAUAUAUACUAGUGAAGGCACCCGCGCGUUGCAGCGGGUAGAUUCUGUAUAAAUAAAUAAAUAAAUAAAACUGUAGAAAAAAAUUUAGAUAUUAAACUCCAUUCCAUGCCUAAAUUUUCAUGAAUAGUAUAAAAAAGAAUGAGUUGUCACUAUAUCGGAAAUAGAGAUAUUUUAGUUAUAUUUUUAGUUUAGCAAUGAUGUAUAUAGUGUAGGAAUUCACGCGAUGCGGUGGGUAAAAAUUAAAAACUUAUAGAGUUCUUACAUUUUUUCGAGAAAGGAGUGAUCGAGGUUAGGAGUGGGGGUCGUAUAAAAAUUUGAAAUUAUUGUAAAUGGGCGCGACCACACAUCCUCCUUGAACGCGGCGCCCCUGUCCGCGGUCUUGAGCGCCGCGCACACCUCGUCAAGGGCCUCGCGGAUCAUCCGCUCGAACCGCGCGCCCACGAACGUGGCGAUAGCGAGGUCCGCCAUGUGGAGGAAGGUCUCCGGCCGCUCCUCCUCCGGGGUCUCCUUCUAGAUGGCCACCGCCGCCUGGACGAUGGCGGGGCCGGCGGAGAGGAGGCGCCGCCGAUCGGAGGGGCGGCAGCGAGGGAGGGUGCGGAGGAAGAGGAAAGGUUGGGGUUUUAGGGUUUGGGAAGGAGAGCAGAAGAGCUCGACAGAGAGAUCACGGAUGUGGGGUUUGGGGUUUAUCAAGCUUUGAGAAGCUAUAUGUCACGCCCCGGGGCCGAUUUUAAAAGCCUUUUAAAAACCGAGUUGCGGAAAACGUGCCAUUUUUUUUUUUUUUUUCAACCUGGCCCACGCGACGUACAGACCCGCCACAAAUACAAAGUUCCUCUGUCCACUCGGGCAGAGUCUCCUUUGUAUUUGCACGGCGUACCAACGAUACAACAGGAUCACAACCACAACCUACAUUUACCAAUCAACAACCCAAGCAUGAUAUGCAUUUUCAUACAGCUAACAAUUCUUAGAAUGAUGCAUGCCUCUAAGCACUCCUUAGGCGCUGGAUGAUGCAAUGCACAGUACAACAAUCAUCCUAUUUAAAAGUGCUCCCCACACGGAAGCUUUUGUUUUUAAACUCUAUUUCAUUCAUUCAUAAAAACCAUUCGAAAACAUUNAUUAUUUUUAUAUAAUUUUUAUUUAAUUAAUAAUUAGACUUAUAAAACUAUAUAAAAAUAUUAAAAAAAAUAAAAUUUAUUAUAAAAAUAUUUUUAUAACCGUAGUAUCGCGCAGGUAUUUCAGUAGUCUACCAUAAUACGAUGGUAAGCGGACAUCUACCAUCGAACGAAGAAGACGUUCAUGAGAGAGAGAGAGAGAGAGAGAGAGAGAGAAAAUAGCUACAUUUAGGAUAGGUCAAAUUGCCCCUAAUAAAUGUUUAGGGGCAAUUUGGUCAUUAUGAAAAAUAUAACUUAUCGGCUUGAAGACCGCUUCGUAUUGGGGCCCAUUGGGGCCCAUUUUUCGCUAGUCAGCAAAAUAAAAUUUGGACAACAGUAAUUAAAUAGACAAAUAAUUCUCUAUAUUUUACUAGUGGAUUUGACUCAUCAUGACAUAUAGAAUGUGAUAUGAUAUAUGAACACAUAAAUUAUAUUUUUAUCAUACUUUUUUGUCGCAUUUAUAAAGUAAUUUGUCUGUAAUGCGUAAAGUAGUCCAUACUGCAAAAGCUUUCGGGUUAGAGAUUUUAUGAUUAAAAUUUUAGCUGCAAUUUACGGCUUCUUUUAUAUGGCACAAUAAAAUACCAGACACGGGCGGUGUCGAAAAAUACACUGUUCGACAGAGUAAAGACUUGGCAAAAUGAGGAUGGCACUAAGGGUGCGUUUGGUUCGCGCUAUUUUUUUAAGAUUUUUAGUAAUAUAAUGGGAAUAAGAAAAUAUGACGGUGUUUGGUUAAAGGCACUAAGUAAUCUAGUUGGUAAUAUUAGAUUCACUUGGGAAUGAGAUUCAUCCUAAUGUACUAAUCUCAUUCCCUUGCGGGAGAGUGGUAUCCUCGUAUUAAGGAAUUGGGUAAUUAUAAUAUGUCUAAUCUCUUUCUUUCUCCUUACCCGCAGACUAGUUAGUAUUAUUAUCUUUUACACUCUAACAUCAUAUCUCUCUCUAAACUUAUCUUUUUCUCUCUAAACUUCAACUCUUUUUCUCUCUCUAAACUAAGCUCUCUCUUUCCCUCUUUUCUUAAAAUUUCAACUCUCACACUCCCUCUAAUCUCGACUCUAUUUCUCUUCCUAUUAUUUAAUUAUGCUCUCUCUCUCUAACCUAUAUUUUCUCUCUAUUUUUUCUAAAAAAAUGUUGAAAUUUUUUGUAGCAUUAUCUAAAAUUUAUUAAAAAAAAUUAAUUAAUUAAUUGUAUAUUUUUUGUAAACUUAAAUAACAUGACUAAAUAAUAUGACCGUGCGAACCAAACACAUGAAUGCCACAUUCUUAGUAAUAGGAUGAAUAGCAAUAAGAUUCUCGGAUAUUUUUUUACUCAUAGUAAUCUUUCAUAAUACGAACCAAACAUGCCCUAAGGGUGCAUUUGGUUCGCACUAUCUUUUUAAGAUUCCUAGUAAUGCAAUGGGAAUAAAAAAAUAUGACGGUGUUUGGCUAAAGGCGCUAAGUAAUCUAGUUGGUAAUAUUAGAUUCACUUGGGAAUGAGAUUCAUCCCAAUGUACUAAUCUCAUUCCCUUGCGGGAGAGUGGGCAUCCUCAUAUUAAUGAAUUGGGUAAUCAUAAUAUGUCUAAUCUUUUUCUUUCUCCCUACCCGCAGGCUAGUUAGUAUUAUUAUCUUUUACACUCUAACAUCAUAUCUCUUUCUAAACUUAUCUUUUUCUCUCUAAACUUCAACUCUUUUUCUCUCUCUAAACUAAGCUCUCUCUUUCCCUCUUUUUCUAAAAUUUCAACUCUCACGCUCCCUCUAAUCUCGACUCUAUUUCUCUUCCUAUUAUUUAAUUAUGCUCUCUCUCUCUAACCUAUAUUUUCUCUCCAUUUUUUCUAAAAAGAUGUUGAAAUUUUGGUAGCAUUAUCUAAAAUUUAUUAAAAAAAAAAUAAAUUAAUUAAUUGUAUAUUUUUUGUAAACUUAAAUAACAUGACUAAAUAAUAUGACCGUGCGAACCAAUCACAUGAAUGCCACAUUCUUAGUAAUAGGAUAAAUAGAAAUAAGAUUCUCGAAUAUCUUUUUACUCCUAGUAAUCUUUCAUAGUGCGAACCAAACGUGCCCUAAAGUUUAAAAGACUAUUAUUUGUCAAUAUUAUAGCAGGAUUUGUUAUAUGAUUUUCUACCAAAGCAAUAUAUUUAUGUGUAAUCUACUAUGCUCCCAAAGUGGUGUGGAUGAUUUUCACUUUUUUACAUUUUCAUCGAAAAUGGUAGAGUUUGAAUGAUAAUGAUUUUUUAAAAAAUUUAGUGGUUUUUAUGAAAAAUAAUAUUAAUUUAAAAAUUAACAAUGAUCAAAAUGGUUGAUCUAAAUAUUAAAAAAUUAAAAACACUGCAUGAAUGAUGUUUUCGAAAAUACUAUAGCCGGACCCUAUAUUUUUUUGGACUUUUUUUAUAUUUAAUCCCCUCAAAAAAUAUUUACAAAUAAUCACAUAAAAUUUAUUUUUACAAGAUUGAUCAUGUUCCGGCCACGCAAGCACCACGCGGGCGUGAUUGAUCGUAGGUUAAAUUUAAUAUGAUGAACUAUUUACCAUACUUAGAUAUGGUGAAUGAUUUAUCGUGUCCUUUUAAUACAUAUUAUUUAAAAGGACACGGUGAAUUAUUUUCUUAUUAGUUUUUAAGUAAUAUAUAUCAAAAGAAUAUAUACGAUGAAUAAUUUACAGUGUUCAAUUUAACCUCACUGUCACACCCACGUGACACUCGCGUGAUGCCUAUAUGGCCGGGAUAAAGCUAAUCUUACUAAUAUAAAUUUUAUGAAACUAUUUGUGAGAAAAAAAAAAUUGAAAGAGUUAAAUGCAAAAAAAAGAAAAAAAAAAAAAGAAAAAAAAAAAAGAGCCCAUAUUUUUGUAGCCAUUUACAAUUUUUUUAACAUAUAUUUUUCAUAUGUGACUAAUAAACGUACGCUGCGACGGAGGGUUAAAAAGUUGCAACGACUUACGCAUUGGAGACCUGGCAUUUCCAUAGCUAAAUAUCCGUCCAUAUCAAGAACUAUACGUGCAAUUAAACCAGCUAGGUAGGAGCCCGGAAGGCGGGCUUUUGAUUAUCGGGUUGCUCUCGAAGAAGUUGAAAGGCCGAAGCUCGAAUCCCCCGGUUAACAGCGGCAUCAACGGAAAAUCUUCCUGGCAGGGGAUGUGGUGAAAUCCGACUGUGUACCACAACACAAUAUCCGUGUUCUUGAUCAAGCGAUUCCUGGUUAACCAAGAGAGAUCUUGAGAUGAGCCAUCAUUUUUAUUUGGAGAAAGCUUUAGUUCAAGAAAACUACUCCUUACAUAAGAAUAAGCCAGUUUGAUCGCUAACCUUUGGGUCCAUACGGCCAAGCCAUCAUCUCCUCUGCUCUGGUCGACGUAAAGCCCGGCGGCCCACUUCUCGGACUUGUUGUAGGCCGUCACCCACACCUGCUUCUUGGUGAAGCUGGCCCGGCGCUGCGGAUAGUCGUCAUCCGUCAUCAACGAGCCUGCAGUCCCCGCGCCGCUGAUCAGCCGGUACCCCACAUCGUUCCCCAUCUUCGUCUUCUUGCUCGGAUUCACGAUCAGCAGCUCUAUAGGUUCUUUUCCCACGUCAACCUGUGCAUCGGCCUCUGUCUCUGCUGUCUCUUUUACGACCGUCCAAUAGCUCUUCCGAGGGGAGUCGGACGAGGCCAACCUCACCGUCUUGAGCUUGGACUUGACGAAGGAGUUGUCGGUGCCGUCGAUGUCAAGGUCGAGAUAGUAAGUGAUGAAGUGGUCGUGGUAGACCGCGAUGGUGUUCUCAGCCAACAGACUGCCGUGGGGAUCGCCGGUUAUUUGGUCUGCAUGGGUGUAGGAUGAACCCUUCACUUCAAGGAGGCCUGUCAGUGCUACCUGUAUGAGGCAAGAAAGAGAAAUCAUGUAAAUUCUGUCCAGCAGAAAGUCAGCUGCUUCGAAUUGAACUAAUUUGUUAAGUUGAAUGAAUUCGUAUCUUCAUAUUGGAAUAAAAUAUGAUUAAAUUGAUUUUUCAUUGUUUACAUUUUUUAAUUAUUAUUCUUGGUUUUCCUAUGGACUUUGUAGCCAUUGGUAGUUAAAGAGCCCAAUCUGCAUAAAAAUUCAUUGAUUUUGAGUUUUUGUAAAAAUAAUCUGUCUUUUUAGAUUUUAUAGAUUGUAUACGAAUUUGACCAAAAUAUUCUUAUUCUUCUUUCUCUUUCUUUUUUUUUCACGCUCAUCUUUUUUUCGUACGGUUCGUUUUCUUCCUCCUUGCCGUUUCUCCUUUUUUCUUCUCCCACUCUCUCCUUUCUUUUGCUCCACCACCCCGACGUCAAAGUGCUCCUCUCUCUUACUUUGCUCGCCUCUCCGCUGAUCGAUGCCGGCUCGGAUAUGGCAUAAUUUACGAUAUGGUGGAAUUAUGGCCGCAGACGGUGACAGUGACAACGACGAGAGUGUCGCAAGUUUUGAGGACGAUGGAGAGAGAGAGCGCGUCGGGACGGAGGCGGUGGCAGCUGCGGCAAAGGACGAGGAAGGAGGUGUGAUAACAGAAAGUGACAUAGAGGGUGAAAGAAAAAAUAAAAAAAAAAAAGUUUUUUCUCCUAAAAAAAAUCAUUGUGUUAUAACUGUUAAAAGCAAACAAAAGAAAAAAUAAAUAAAUUUAUACUGUUUGAGAUCAAAGUUGCAUUAUUCGAGAAUAAGUCGUACUAUUUGAGACAAAAUUACACCAUACAAAAAUAAGUUGUACUAUUUUUGGACUAAACACUGUUUGAUAUUAAAUUGUACUAAUUGAGAGAAAAAAAAAAAGGAGAGAAGAAGAGGAUAAAUUGUACUGUUUGAGACGAAAGUUAUACUAAUAGGCAGUGUUUGGUCCAGAAAUAAAGGGGAAAUAAGCCCUUGUUCCCUUCUUCUUUCCCAAACGUCGCGUUUAGUAUCCGAGAACAGCCGGUAUAAAGCUGGAACUGAUGUUCCAUCUUUUUUCUUAAAACAAGCUUGUUCCUAAGUGGGAACAAGAUUAAUUAAAGUCUAAAUUUAGUUUUACUUAUGGUAUUAAAUUAUUAAUUAAUUUAAUUAAUAUAUUUAAAUCAUUAUUUUUUACUUAAAUAAUAAAAUAAUUAAUUAAAUUAUUAUUUAUAAUUAAUUAUUAAUAAUUUAAUAUAUUUAUCUAUAAACUAAUAUUUACAUUGUUUCUAUCAAUCUAAUUAAAAUGAUAUCGAAAAAUCAUUUUUAUAGGAUUUUUAUUUUCAGCCGUUAAAAAUUAUAGAUUUUGAAUCCUUUCGAUUGCCAGGUAAGUGAUAUUGAAAAAUCGCAAAAAUUAUUUUCUAGAAACUUCAAAUAUGCUAAAUCAAGUCUAACGGAGCCGAUCACCGAUUUGGAAAUUCCAUCAUGGAAAAUGGCUCAGUAGCACGGAGGCCAUCGUGCUCCUGAGAGCACAGCAGUCCUCUAUAUAUAUAUAUAUAUAUAUAUAUAUAUAUAUAUAUAUCUCAAGAUCAUCUUGUAUGANUGUUAGAACUUUACUCGCUCUGAUAUCAUUAGUUGCUUGUUAUCUCACUUCUCUUAUUUGUUCCAUCUCUUGCUUUUACUUUCGCUUUUCUUGUAGACGCCUUAUAUGUGUAGACAUAUGGCGGGUCUGGGCACGCUACCGGGAGGGCCUCUGCCGGUCCCGGGGCGUGACAUGUAUCCACUCAAGAUUGCUCCGAGAUCCGUAUUUUACACAAUCACAGUGUAGUUUCGAAACUCCUUUCGUAAUUUCUUGUGUCAAUAUAGAAAAAAUUAAUCCUUAAAUUAUGCUAGCAAUUUCAAAAGAAUUACCUAUAAUAUAGAAAUCAAUUAUUAUAAGAGAAUCUCUCUCUUAUAAUUAAAAGAGAGCUUUAUAUAAAGUCUUCCUUCUUUCACACUUCACUUUGUGUUCCACUUCUUGAGGGAGAUUACUCUCUUCUUUUUAUAGGCCUAAAAGCCAUUAGGCGGAGAGUAAGCUCCUCUAGUUGUUACAAAGAGAAUGGACAACCACCAUAAAUGAGAGGAAAUGAACUCCUCUCAUUUAAUAGAUGAAACAGAGAAAAAAAAAAAAAGAGAAGGAAGAACGAGAAGGGAGUUUUCUUUUCCAAUUAAUUAACUAUAUCAUUAAUAGGGUGAGUCACUACAACAGAAUUAGGUUAUAGGGACACAUGUUUGGGACACUUUUGAGUAAGUGUCCCAUUUAUGCUAAAACUUAAAAAAAAAUAUCUACUAAUGCCUAAAUAUAAAGCCCAAUCCAAUCAAAAAUAAAAGAUUACUCUACUCAACCCACCACACCCAGUCCAUUUGGCCCGAUUACAAACAGAAAAGAAAAAAAAAAGAAAAAUCAAUUACCAUCUUUUCUUCUCUCUUCAUUCAAUCCACUGAAAUUCUAGACGAAGAGCCUUUCCUGUCGUUCUCCUCCGCCACCGCAGCCAACGAGAUAGAGUUUCGGCGGUUGCUAAAUGCUUAAAUAAGUGUUGGUAAAUUAGCAGCACUCUUUUAGGUUAUAGCGACACUCUUUAACUGUCACUAUACACCUAGCGACCCCACAUAUAGCAACACUUUUUAAAAGUGUCGGUAAUUUUAGCUAGCAGCACUUUUUUGAUAUUUACCUAUAUUUAAAAGUGUCGGUAUAAACCAUUUUUGUUGUAGUGAGUGAAUGCAUGAAUUUACUUUUCAUUCUCCCUCACUCAUUUUCAUCACUUUGUAACUCCUCCAUUAAUAUUUAUUAAUUGAGAAGUUGAUAAGAGAAAGAUAGCUUUUAAUAUUUUUUGUGCACUUGCACCGUAUGCAACAAUUAUAUUUAACUCUAUAAUUUUUAAUUUCAUAAAUGGGUCCUUCUUACUAAACAACUUAGCAAAUAAAUUCUUACUUUACUAUUUCAGUAUGGUCUCUAUAAAUUCUCCAAGCACUCAAUCACACGUAGUUUUAUUGUAUGUGACCACAUAAGUUCUAUUUCACCUAAUAGUAAGAUGCGAUACUAAACUCUUUUAAUAUUACCAUUGGAACUUCUUUCGUAUAGACCAAAAUAUUUUUGUCUCUCAUAACUGAAUGUGAUUAACCAUCUUAAUCACUCUCGUUUUGGUCUCACAAUCCACAAGUGACACCUAAUAUGGUGGUUGUUAGUGUAGCUACGACCUAAUAUGGUGGCAGUUAAUGUAGCUACGACAGGCGGGACGGGUAUGUUCACAGUCCCUAGUGAGAUUGGGUCAGAGAUUGCUUUUCCUACAGAUUGUUAGUGUUGUUUCAUGAUAGUAUAGUGGCAUGUAGCUGUAGAUUAUUUUCAGUUUCUUACUAUCAUUGAGUAUACAUCUGUAGACUUAGUGUGUAACGACCCAGCCCACUAGCAACAAUAACUCGUUGGGCCCAACCGCCGGCCCAAAAUGCUUAAGCCCAGUUAUUAUUACUAGUGUCUAAGUCUCUUAUAAACCCAAUAACAACCCCAUUCCCAUCCGAUGUGGGAUUAUUGGGGUGUCACAGACUCCCUCCGUUAAGGCCCUGACGUCCUUGUCAAUCCAAACACACACACAGCCCAAGAUCGCCAGGCGAUGUGAGACUCGUCUCACUAGCCAGUCAUCUAGACCCUAGCUCAGCCGAGACUCGCCACACAUGUCCAGCUGGUGAACCGGCUCUGAUACCAAAUGUAACGCCCCAACUUCCCAGGGGUCACCCAUCCUAGGACUACUCCCGUCCUAGCACGCUUAACUCUCUUAACCUCUUGGGCCUUGCCACCACCUAAUAUGCUUAAGCCGGGUUAAGAGUUUAGCCCUAUUAUAUCUUAUAUAUAGGACUAUCUGGGGUCUCACAAUCAAAAUUUGUAACGCCCCAACUUCCCAGGGGGUCACCCAUCCUAGGACUACUCCCGUCCUAGCAGGCUUAACUCUCUUAACCUCUUGGGCCUUGCCACCACCCAAUAUGCUUAAACCGGGUUAAGAGUUUAGCCCUAUUAUAUCUUAUAUAUAGGACUAUCUAGGGUCUCACAAUCUCCCCUCCUUUAAGCCCUGACGUCCUCGUCAGGCUCAGACUCACAAGUACCAGGCGAUGUGAGACUCGUCUCGCUAGCCCGUCAUCCAGACCCUGGCUCAGCCGAGACUCGUCUCACACUUCCGGCUGGUAAUUGGCUCUGAUACCAUUUGUGACGCCCCAACUUCCCAGGGGGUCACCCAUACUAGGACUACUCCCGUCCUAGCACACUUAACUCUCUUAACCUCUUGGGCCUUGCCACCACCCAAUAUGCUUAAGCCGGGUUAAGAGUUUAGCCCUAUUAUAUCUUUUAUAUAGGACUAUCUGGGGUCUCACAUAAUGGGCGAGCCGUUGAGGUCGGUAGCGGUACCCACUGAGGACUACUUCUUUUUACAGUAGUUUUCACGUCCAGUUGUUGGAAUCUUUUGCAGAGCCUUCUUCUUCGGUUGCUGCUGCUGCUGAUUCGGAUCGAGGAAAGGGAGUCGCGAGUUAGAUCCCUUCCCCGUUGCUGCUGAUCUAGAGUAUACCAGCUACAGGUUGUUGUAGUUCUUUUUGGUUCAUUACAUACUAAUUUUGUAUCUCGCUGCCCAGAUGCUAUAUGUAUGUAUUGGACCACUGUUAUUAUUUAUGUUUUAUUUCUUUUUUUUGCAGCUCUACACUGCUAGUUGUAGUGUUGUGUGAUUAAAGGUACAGCUAUCGCUUCGUAUACAGAAAAAAUUUCUUUGUAUACGGCAGAUUUGUCGGCGUGCCCAGGGAAACGAGUAAUCCGGGGUGUGACAUUUUGUCUACAUCAAGUGUAAAAAUUUAUCGUAUGGAUCAAUUCUAUUUUUUAAUAGUCAAUAUAACAAAUAAAUAUAAAAUUUUAUUGCAUAGAUCAAUACUAUUUUUUAAUAGUCAAAAUAACAAAUUCGUAUGGUUUUUAUCCUUUUUUUUUUUAGUCCUUCUUAUAAUUUAUUCUUAUAUUUUUAUUGCAACAAUAGUUACUUAUUCUUCAGUUGAUUCUUUUUUAUAUAAUUCUUUGAAUCUUUUUUUACUUUCUUUACUUUAUUUAUUUAUUUAUUUUUACGAAAUCACGUCCUUCACUAAUAUUAGAGAGUCAAAAGUUUAAUAGACGCUUUUCUUUCUUUCUCCCUUUUAACUCACGCACCUACUUUUCUCCUCCUUGCUACCUCCGCUCUAGCCUUUUUGGCUGGAUUUUGGCUAGGCAUCUAGCUAAAAAUCCAACUAUUAGUGUAGUAACCCUGGAAUUCAGCAGCUGAGGCUUGUCGACAGCUCUGGAGAGUGUCGGGACAAGUCCGAGUCCUGUUGGCGCGAAAUAGACGCAAACUGGACUCAGCAGGACGCGAGAGCAGAGAGUUAGCAUUGCAAUCUGCAAAUUUCAGAUUUUCAGCAAUUGGUACCAUUACCGCACAGAGGCGUACGGGUACCCAGUGCAUUUUUCUGCGUAGACUGCUCUCGGGUUGGCCAUUCUGCUGCGUGGUACUGGUACAACAUUGGAGUGGUACCGGUACACCAGGGUAGGUAAAGGACUUUUUGGUCUUUUCUUGCCUCGUUUGUUUCACCUUAUCCCCUCUACAUUAUAUAGGAUGGAGAGAGAGGCUGAGGAGGGGUUUUGCUAUGCUCUCUCUCUCUUCCUCUUGUGCUCGGUCGUACGCAAGGAGGAGCUUGGGUGGAGGCGGAUUGUCACCGAUGUCGUGCCGCGGUGCCGUUUGAGCGUGCGUUCGUCGUGGUAGCGUCGUGGGGAGGCUGCGCGAGCGUGCAGUUUCGCUUCUUUCGACUUCUCGCCGUUGUUGGAUGCGCUUUCGAUGUGGGUUAAAGUGAUGCUUACCAAAUUCUACGGGUUUCCUCCUAAUGCUAUAUGUGUCGACAACAUGUAUUUUUAGCUUUGUUUAGUAUAUUGUUUAGCUCGAUUCUUAAAAUUUCAUGCCUAUGAACUUGAAUUGGAGCGUAGAAAAUUAGCUAAAAUAUACAUGUUGAACUUGGAUUUGACUUAGGAGAAAACUGACGUUUCUACACCGCCAUUUGAACAAACUACCAGAUUUAGCUCUAGGAGCCGUAGUUUGUUUGUAUCGACGCAGUUUGUGGACGGUGAAUACUUAGAAUAGUGUAGAAUAUAUUUAUACUCGUGCUGAGGUGCCGAGUGUAUUUUUACAGUAGUGUUUAGGCUGUUCCGGAUUGCCGGGUGCCGUUGAGGUUGACGGUGGACCAAGAUUGCUGUUUUUGCAUCAGAUUGUGCCUAGGAUACGUGAGUUCAGUUGUUAGACCAUGUUUACUUGACUAUAGCCUGUGAGAGUCUGAUUGAGCUCGACAGAGAUACGCUUGCAUACUCAGUUAGGUAGCGCCCAUGAGUGCCACUCCGGAGUCGGGCUUUGUGCUUUUGCGUUAGUGUCGUUUAGUCCUGGUUGAACUUGCUCUCCACUGACGACCUGGUUUAGUGUCAGAUUGUGUAGUUUCGACAGGCGGGACGGGUGUGUUUACAGUCCCUAGUGAGAUUGGAUCAGGCUUUAUUAUUUCCUACAGAUUGUUGGUGCUCGACCGAGAUAGUAUAGGUACAUAUAGCUGUAGAUUUAUUUCAGCUUUCUUACUAUACUUGUUUACAUCUGUAGAUUUAGUGGGUGAGCCGUUGAGGUCGGUAGCGGUACCUACUGAGGACUAUUUCUUUUGUAGUAGUUCUCACGCCAGUUGUUGGAAUCUUUUGCAGAGCUUUUUUCUUCGACUGCUGCUACUGCUGAUACGGACCGUGGAAAGGGAGUCGAGAGUUAAAUUCCUUCCCAGUUGCUGCUGAGCUAGAGUAUACCAGCUACAAGUAGUGGUAGUUUUUGUGUUCAUAUACAUACUUUUAUUGUAUCUCGCUGGAGCGAGUGUUUUGUAUAUCAGGAUACUUGCAUGUAUAGUGAACUUAUGUUUUUAUAUAUAUCAUUUCUUCUAGCAGCUCUAUACUACUGGUUGUAGUAUUGUUUGAUUACAGGUACAGCUGUCGCUUCGUAUACAGGAAAAAUUUCUUUGUAUACGGCGGAUUUGUCGGCGUGCCCGAAAAAACGAGUAAUCCGGGGGUGACAAUUAGGUUCGAAUUUUUGCGUUACUUUACUUAUUAUUUCUCUAAUAUUAUCUUCUAUGUUUAUGAUCUAUUCCAUAAUUAUCUAAAUUUUCAUCUUUCUUUUGCUUUAUUCUUUCGCUAUUCAAAACUCCUCUUUCUUUCAAUUUGUUCACCGUCAUCGACUUUAUGCCUAUCCUUCGUGCUGAAGCUUGGUAGACUCGGAGAUAAGGACGUCUCCAAGGUUGAAAAACUAAGAGAUAUAGGCAUUCCGCUGUGAGUCGCAGGACAAAAGUUGGAUCGAAAAUACAGUAUAGAUAAUUAUUUUUAUCUAUAUUAUCUAUAUUAUAUUUUUCCAUAUUAUGAGCUUAAUUAAUUUGUUAGUUGGUACAAUGGUUCAGGGAUUGAUUCAGAUAAUUUUCUCUUUUCUUCUUUAGGUUCGAAAACGGUUAACUUUAUCUUCUUUUUUCUUAGUUUUGAGAUACUUAUAUUUUUUCCUUCUUUCUUGAUAUAAAAUAUACUUAUUUUAUUUUUCAAAAAUCUACAAUGACGUAACCAAGCUCUCCUAUGUUUUUUAAUAAAAUGCCUACUGGUGUUAACCUUUUAUAAGUUGCAUUUGGUUUGGUUAUAAGUAAGAACUACUUAUUACAUGGAUAGGUACAAGUUCAGAUAUAAGAAGAAAUUAGACCAAUUUUGCAUUUCGAUAAAAAUUUUGCUUCUACAAAUAAGAUAAAUAGUGUUUGGAUGGUUAGAUUGGAACAAAGGGAUUAAGAGUUACAAUUUUAAAUUAAAAUUAUCUUAUCUAAUUAAUUAACAUCAAAAUAUUACUUAAAAAUAAUAAAUUAAUAUUAAUAAUUAUAAAUUAAUAAAUAAAUUAAUUAAAUAAUAAUAAAUUUGUGUUUGGAUGAAAAUUGAGUUAUUCCUAGANNNNNNNNAAUUAUAAAUAAUUAUAAAUUAUAAAUUAAUUAAUUAAUAUUAAAAUUAUUAAUUAGUUAAUUAUUAAUAACUAUAAAUAAUAAAUUAUUAAUAAUUAAUAGUAAUAAUAAAUUAUUUAAUUAUAAUUAAUUAAUAGUAAAUAAAUAAUUAAUUAAUAAUAAAUUAAUUAAUUAAGAAUAAAUUAACGAUAAAUUAGUUAAUUAUAAAUUAGUAAAUUAAUUAAUUAUUAAUUAAUAAAUAAAUAAAUAAAGUAAUUUUUAAUAAUUAUAAUUUAAUUAAUAAUAAUAAUUAAUAAACUAAUAAAUUAUUUUAUAGCUUAAACAAUAAAUAUUGAUUUAAAUAUAUUAAUUAAAUUAAUUAAUUAUUUAAUACCCAAAUUAAAAUUAUUUUUAAACUUUAAUUAACCUUAUUCUCACCUAGAAACAAGUUUGUUCCAUAGGAAAGAUGAAACAACAGUUCCAGCCUUAUAUCGGCUUAUUCCAAAAAUCUAAGAACUACUAUUCUCGGGUACCAAACGCAGCGUUUGGGAACAAAAGAGGAAACAAGGGCUUAUUCCCCCUUUGUUUCCUAACCAAACGCUUCCCAAAUUGCUAUUUGGGAUUAAAGGGGGAUAACCUCUUAUCCGAUCCUCCAUUAACCCUAAACCAAACAGUGUUAAAAAACUAUAAAAAAAAAAGGGGAAAACUUCAAAAACCCCCCUUGUGGUUUCAAUUUUUUUCACUUUAGUACUCUGUGGUUUAAAAUGUAUCAAGUUAGUACCCUAUGGUUUCUCACUUUAUCACUUUAGUACCCUGUGGUUUAAAGUGUAUCAAGUUAGUACCCUGUGGUUUUGCACUUUAUCACUUUAGUAUCCUGUGGUUUUAAUUUUGUAUCAAGUUAGUACCCUGUGAUUUUUUAAAUCACAAGGUACUAAAGUGAUAAAGUGUGAAACCACAGGGUACUAAAGUGAUAAAGUGCAAAGCCACAGGGUACUAAUUUGAUACACUUUAAACCACAGGGUACUAAAGUGAUUAAGUGAGAAACCACGGGUAGUAACUUGAUACACUUUAAACCAUAGGGUACUAAAAUGAAAAAGUGUGAAACCACAGGAGGGUUUUUGAAGUUUUCCCAAAAAAAAAAGAAAAAAAAAAUUGUUACCCCAAAUUUGAUGGAGCCACUGGCCUUGAAUUCCCAGUCCAUCACAUAAUCGUAAUUCCCCAGCGCAGCCACCAUCCUCACAACCAAACUCACUUCCGGUCGCACCUCCCUUAUCUGCAAUUUCACCAUCAUCAUAAACAUAAAGCCCAAACCCAUAUAUCAACCUACCGAAAAAAAAUAAAAAGAGAAAUCUAAUUACUAAAAAUACACAUGCAGUUACUUUUAAUCAUAUUGCCUUCAUGCACUUACCACUCCUUCCGGUAACCCGAACUCCGUGUGCCGCCACGCAACGUCGCCGGCGUAGCGCUGGAACACGCAGAAAACGUUCUCAAUUUUGAUAGGCUUGCCAUCCUGCCCGGCGUAGUACCCGUCCAAGAAUGCCGCGCCGGCUGGGCAAUCAGCCUCGGGCACGAGAGGGGAGGCCCACAGCCCGAACCCGAACUCGCCCUCGUCGAAGAACGUCCGGUAGUACCACUCGUCGACCGGGUCCAUGUAUGGCACGAACAGCUCCGACACAAACCCUCGGUAGAGGACGCGGCGGCAUGCACACUUCUCACCAUCGUAGACGGACGCGAGGGAGAUGAUGGCACCGGCGCGGACGUCGUAGCUCAGGUGGAACUCCCAGUUAGCCCACCUACAUGAAUUAAAUUUUUAAUUGAGCUUCAAUGCUUUUAAAAGUACCGGAUUAUUCGCGCUUAUAAAUUUUCGGCUUUUGGAUAAAGAAAUGUGCGAUUAAAAUAAUACCGGUCCUUUAAAAUUGAGUGGAUAAUUUGUUGAAUAGUAUAAUUUAACAAGUAAAAAUGAUCAAAAAAAUUAUAUCUAAUUGUUAAAAAAUUACAAGCUUUAAAGAGUUUUGUGCUUUUAAAAAUAUCAUAACAGGACUCUAGAAAAUAAUAUUAUAGUAUUUUAUAUUCAAUAAUAUGCUGUUUGGAUCGCUCAAAAUCUUCAUACGAUAGUUUAUGCUACAAAUUCCCUCAAGCGGAAAAUAAGAGAAAAUAUAAUAGUUUUCUUGGUUGAUACCUUUUGCUUCGAGUUAUAAAUUUUUAUUUUUCUCCCCAGAUUUGUGCAUAAAUAUCUAAUAACUUGUUAGAAAAUGGAAAAAAAAAAAAAAAAAAAAACAAUUAGGCGUAGUAGCUAGCUUAGCUCCGUAGCUACCUGAUAAUGUUGCCGUUGAUCUCGAACCCUGUCCCCUCCGGCUGGCCGACCGAUCCCGACUUGGUGCGCCGCCGGUAGUCGGUCCCCUCCGCCUUGGGCACCGGCAGCUGCACCCGAUCCCUAUACUGGACGAUCUGCAUCUCAUCCAUAUCCACCACAAUCGUUAUUCCCUCCAGCGGCCUCGCGUAGAAGUUCGCGGCCUCCCCCGCCACGAAGCACGGCACCUUCAGCACCCUCUUCCCUUUCUUCCGCUCUCCGAACCAUCCCACAGAGAACGUGCUGCAUAUCACUUGGCUCAAAUCCACUCCUCUCUUCGCAACCGACUCGAUGAACGGCGUGUAGCUCAUCGGUAAGCUCACGGCCGCCGCCUGCUCCGCGAGAGUGAAGAUAGGGUACCCGAUGCCUCCGUAUGUAGAAUCGGAGAUGAUUUUGCUAUUGGUUAUAUCGACGUAGAUUUCGCGAGUCUCUUUCCCGGCGCGGGCGACGACGAAGGCUCGACGGGGCGGUCGCGGAGCGGCGGUGGGGUUGGAUAGGAAGGAGAGGAGCUGGGGCUUGUCGGGUUCGUCGAGGCCGACGUAGUGGAAGGAGAGGGGGCCGGAGGAGGAGCCGAGAGGGGACGCAAGGAUUACGCGGCGGAUGGCGGUGAUUUCGUCGGGGGUGAGGGAGUCGAGAGGGUGAGGAGAGGUUGAGAUUAAUGAGCACGAGGUAGAGAAGAGUGAGAGGAGGAGCGCCGAGAAGAUCAAGGGGAACAUUUUGGGGAUGAAUUAAAAGGUAACUCUGCUGCUGGAGUGAAGAGAAAAGCUGCACAUGCUUCUUAUGCCAAUGAUUCAAAAGCCGGCCGAUUCGGUACUUGCGACGGUGAUCCAAUCGAUAAAAUAGUUGGAUUUAAUAUUUGGAAAAACUUCAAUUAAAAAAAAUCAUGUGAUUUGACAUUUUUUCACUCCUAUACUUUAUACUUUAGAGUGUAUCGAGUUAAUACUAUGUGGUUCCGCACUUUCUUACUUUAAUACCCUGUGGUUUAAAGUGUAUCACGUUAGUGUUAUGUGGUUUCAUUUUUUUAUCAAGUUAGUACCCUGGGUUUUCAUUUUUUUUUUAUUAUUCAUUUUGGGAUAUUUUUUUUGUUAAAUCAGUGACACAGUUAUAGUUAAAGAGUACUAAAAUGAAUAUUCAAUAAAUCUAGAUAGGAUAUCUGAAAUUUUUUGUAUAUAAUUUAACGAAAUAUUAAAUCACAGGGUACUAAAAUGAGAAAAUGCGAAACCACAGAGUACUAACUUGAAACACUUUAAACCACAGGGUAUUAGAGUGAGAAAGUGCGAAAUCACAGAGUACUAACUUGAUACAUUUUAAAUCAUAGGGUACUAAAAUGAAAAUGUAUGAAACCACAUGGGGGUAAUUUGAAGUUUUCCCUUAAUAUUUUGAACCAUUUGAAUCAAUAACUGCGUCAUUGAAUCUGUAAAUCGAUCCGAUUUUACUUAAGCUGAACAGUUUUUUUUUUAUCAAAUUAUAUUAAAAAUUCAACAGUUUAAAAUUAACUUAACUAAUUUUAUUUUCUUAGCACGUAUAAAUUUUAUAAAAAAAAAGUAAAAUUAAAAACUUAUAUAUACUUAAUUUGGCCCAAAAAUUAAUAUUCUAUAAUUAAUUAUAAUAUUAGAAUAAUAAUAUUUAUUGGCCUUUUUGCAUAAAAAAUCCACUUAUUUUGGGCUUUUGCAAAAUCGGGUCACUUUCUUCGUUUUUGCAGAUUCGGUCCGCUUUUUCAGCAAACUGACCAAAAUACCUUCAUUACUUUUUCUCUUUCCUUUUUCUCUCUUCUCUUCGUUCUCUCGUUCUUUUUUUUUUCCGCCGAAAAAAAAGGCGAAGGCCGGAGCACCGCUAGGCGGGCUCUUCUUCUUCUUCUUCCUGCAGGAGCAAUUUUUUUUCUCUUUUUCUUUUUCUUCUUCUUCUUCCUCCUGCUGGAGCAUUUUUUUUUUCCCUCUUCUUCUUCUUCUUCUUCUUCUUUUUCUUCCUGUAAGAGCACGAAGCGCGCACAGCGACUUCCGGCCUCGCCACAGAGCCCGACCGCUCGACCCCGACGCCCCGCUCAAGCCGGGGAAGCUCUACUUCCUCGUCGACCUCCCCCGCGCCGACCCCGAGCCCGACCACCGCCGCGAGGGCGCAACCGGCGCCGGCGCCGCACGUUCCUACUAGUUGGGCCCGAAGGAACGGCCCGCGUCGACACGAGCGGCCGACGCUCGAAGCCCGACGUGCCGCUCAAGGCCGGAAGCCUUUACUUCCCUCCCACUGCGCCGACCCCGAGCCAACCACGCCGCGCGUCGAUUUCACCAUUACAACAUUUAAUGGUAAAUGGUGGCACCAUUAACCAUUAAUGGUGAAAUUACACCAUUACACAUCUAAUAGUGUAAUGGUGUAUGGUGUAAUGGUGUAAUUACACCAUUACAGCCAUACACCAUACACUAUUAAUGGUGUAAUGGUGUAAUUUCACCAUUAAUGUGUAAUGGUGCACCAUUACACCAUUUACGAAACCCGGCCAGCCGGGACAGCGAGCGCCCGCGCGGAGACCGCCGAGUCGACGUGCGGCCUCCUCCGCCGGCAACGGCGACGGAGAGGGAGGCGUGGCGUGCACCGGCCAACCUCAAAGCCUCGGCGACCCCGACCUCCCCCGGCUCCGCUCGACCCGACGCCCGCAGGCGCCGCGUGCACUGCCCGGCGUGCUGCGGCGCCAAUCGAGCUCGGUGGCAGAGCUCGGCUCGGGCGCCGUCGCCGCGGCAGAGCUUAGCCGCGGCGCGGCGACGGCGACGGCGCUGAGGCGUUCUCCGCCAGAGUGGCUCUGACGGCCGCGAUCGGCCCGAAGCUGCUGCGGAGCGCGGCGACGGCGGCGGGAAUUGGUGGGUUUGGUGGACCCGUGCUUGGGCGCGGAGUACGACGCGGAGGAGGCCGCGGAGAUGGUGAGCUGGCGGCGGCGGUGCAUUGCGGGAGCCCGAGCUUGAGGCCGUCCAUGGCGGAGGUCGUGCGGCCAUGGAAGGAGAAGGCGUGCAAGUCGAUCUCAGCCGUUCGUGCGAGAUCGAACGGCAAGUGUGAUUCGUAAUUUCUCUUUUUUUUUUGUGUUUUCACUUUGUGUGUGGUAUACUUAUGGAGUGGUGAUUAGAGGUAGAGUGAAAAGGAAAGGUGAAAUGAGAAACAUUGAAAUGUGUGAUAGCCAGAAAUUGUUUGUUGAGAAAUAAAAAAAAUAGUAUUGCAGAGUUUUGUAUUGAGUUGCCAGCAAUAUUUGAUAAUUUUGUUUCAAUGAUGAUUAUGAUGAUGAGGAGGGGAGGAGGAGAAAGAGGAUAUGAUGACGCCGACGCCGCGCCCACGCCGCCCCGCCGUGCCUCGUUCCUCUGCGCGGCAGUAGCGGCGGUGAAGCUCUGCGCGGUGACGGCACCCCAAGCCGAGCUCUGCUUGCGGAGCUCGGGGGCGCCGCGGCACGCACGGGGCCGGUGCACGGCGGCCGGCGCGGCGUCGGGGGUCGAGCGCAGGGCAGGGAGGUCGGGUCGGCCGAGCUCGAGGUCGGCCGUGCACGCCAAGCCCUCCCUCUCCGUCGCCCCCCGCCGCGAAGGAGCGCGCACGUCGACCCGGCGGUCUCGCCACGGGCGCUCGCUGUCCCGGCUGCCGCGGUUCUUCGUAAUGGUGUAAUGGUUACACCAUAAUGGUGAAAUUACACCAUUAAUGUGUAAUGGUUACACCAUUUAAUGGUGUAAUGGUGAAAUCGCGCGGCGGUGGUCGGGCUCGGGGUCGGCGCGGGGGAGGAAGUAGAGCUUCCCCGGCUUGAGCGGGGCGUCGGGGUCGAGCGGUCGGACUUGUAGUCCGACGCCCGGCCUUCCUCGGGCAACUAGUAGGAACGCGCGGCACCGGCGCCGGCGCCGGUUGCGCCCUCGCGGCGGUGGUCGGGCUCGAGGUUGGUGCGGGGGAGGUCGACGAGGAAGUAGAGCUUCCCCGGCUUGAGCGUCGGGGUCGAGCGGUCGGGCUCCGUGGCGAGGCCGGAAGUCGCCGUGCGUGCCCCGUGCUCUUACAGGAAGAAAAAGAAGAAGAAGAAGAAGAAGAGGGAAAAAAAAAAUGCUCCAGCAGGAGGAAGAAGAAGAAGAAGAAAAAAAAAAGAGAAAAAAAAAAUUGCUCCUGCAGGAAGAAGAAGAAGAGGAAGAAGAGCCCGCCUGGCGGUGCUCCGGCAUUCCCAUUUUUUUUCGGCGAAAAAAAAAAAAAGAACGAGAGAACGAAGAAGAGAGAGAAAGAGGAAAGAGAAAAAGUAAUAAAGGCAUUUUGGUCAGUUUGCUGAAAAAGCGGACCGAAUCUGCAAAAACGAAAAAGGUGACCCGAUUUUGCAAAAGCCCAAAAUAAGUGGAUUUUUUAUGCAAAAAGGCCAUAUAUAUUUGAUAUAAUAAAAUAUAAAAUAAAAGGUAAAUAUUUAUGACAUUAUAUUAUUAUUGAUUGAAUCAGUAAUUCUUUUUUUUUGAGAGAAAGGUAGCAUGCUACCGCUUCAUUUAUUAGGGACGUGAAUUUAGCAAAGGGGAGAAGCAACUAGGCUUCAAAAAAAAAAAAAAAAAAAAAAAAAAACACAACCUCUAAACACAGUAUUCCUCCCACGCACUAACGGUAACGCGAAGAUCCGUCAGCACCUGUCUCACCGUGCGCUUUGUGUCGUCAAAAAUUCUUCUGUUUCGUUCUAACCAGAUGGCCCGCCAGGUAGCUAGUAGGAUAACAGACUCCUUCCUUCCUACAGCUCCCCGUUUACCCCGACACUCAUUCCAAAGGCUGUCAAUAGACAAACAUGCCCUUAGGAAGGCCUUAUUAGGCAAUAAGCAUCCCAGCAGUGCACGUGUAACAUCACAAGUUAAGAAUAGAUGAUCAACAGUCUCAGCUUCAUCCAAACAUAGCGUGCAUGCGGCCACGCCCAACCAACCCCUCUUCGCAAGAUUGUCCUUAGUGAGCACUUUCUUCAGCAAUACCAGCCACCCGAAGAUUUUCACUUUAAGUGGGAUUUUACUUAUCCAAAUCAUCACAAACUUCAUCUCAGUUACACCGUCGUUCUGCAUAAAAUUGUACAAAGAUUUAACCGUAAAGACUCCCGAAUUACACCAUCUCCAUAUAGUUUCAUCCCCAAGUUCAGAUAGGUUGCAGGUGUUAACUAGAUCUUUCAAUGCCACGAUUGAGUCGUCGUCUGCGGUGGAGUAUGCCGUAAACCCUUGUAAAAUCCUUUGCCACCUCCAGCCGUCCGUGCCUAUAAACUUCCCAACUCGUUGGUUUUUCAUAACUACGGCAUUGAAUAUAUGCAGGAACAUCGAUUGAAGAGAUAUUUGUGCACACCUUCUGUCCCUCUAAAAGCUCACGGAAGUACCAUCCCCUAUGCUGUAGGAGACCCCGCACCAGAAAAUCUCUCUAGUUAACAUAACACUCUGCCACCACUGGGAGAACGGUUUGAAUGAGAUUCCUUCUCUCAAGGGUAUCCUUCUAGUAUAAUACGCCCCUCGUAUAAAAUUUCUCCAGAGAGUAUUCUUGUCUGAAAGGAACCUCCACCACCAUUUAGCUAGUAACGUCACGUUCAUUAUCUCUAAAUCCAGGACCCCAAGGCCGCCCUCCCUUUUGCUCCGACAAACCGUCCUCCACCGGACCAAACAUUGACCCCCGAAAAUGGUACUCCUUCCUUUCCAAAAGAAGGCUCUCCGAAGUGCUUCAAUACGUUUAACAACCAAUUUUGGUGCUCUGAACACAGAAAAGAAGUAGAGGGGUAGGUUCGAGAUUACCGAGUUGACCAGGACUAACCUGCCCCUAGUGGAAAGGAGUUUAGCCUGCCAUCCUUCUAUCCUUCGUUCAAUCCUGUUGAUAAUUGGCCACCAGUCUGACUUGCGUAGUCUUCUAUUCGUAAGUGGAAGUCCCAGAUAUCUUGUAGGGAAAACACCUACUUUGCACCCUAAAAUUUCAGCCAAUCUGUCGCCUUGUUGGAUGUUUGAACCUAAAUAGAACAGUUCCGACUUGCUCCUGUUAAUUUUCAACCCCGAGGCCCACUCGAAGAUAUGCCAGACGAAACGGAGAUUCCUCACUUGUCUUUUCUUGGCCUCAUAGAAGAAGAGGGUAUCAUCAGCGUACUGAAUAAAAGCUACUUUUGUAUCGUUAGUAGGCCCCACCCCUUUCAACAGGCCGCUGCUAACAGCUUUAUUCAUCACUCUUGCCAGACCUUCAGCAACUAAGAGAAAUAAAUAGGGCGAAAGGGGAUCGCCCUGGCGGAGGCCCCUCUUAGUUUUAAUCCAUUUGGUCGGGGUGCCGUUAAUAAGAACAGCGACUUUCGCCUUAUCUAUACAUUGUUCAAUCCAACUACACCAGAUAGGCGCAGCCCUGAGCCACUGCAAGAUCUUCAGAAGAAAGUCCCAACUCACUUUGUCGUAUGCUUUUUCGAAAUCAGCUUUUACACCGACAGUCUCUACACCCAUUUUUGAGCACCAGCUGACCACUUCACUUGCAGUUGCAAACGAAUCUAAGAUUGAUCGACCCUUAAGAAAGGCUGUUUGCGAAGGAGAAAUAACACCAUGGAGAAUGCCUUCCAGCCUAUUAGUGAGUACUUUCGAAAUAAUUUUUUGUACUCCAUUAAUCAGACUGAUAGGCCGAAAAUCAUUAGCUGUCUUCGCCCCUUCAUCUUCGGAAUUAGACAGAUGUACGAAUAGUCAAGGGGGGCGGAGUUUAGAGACCCCCCAAACAAAUCACUGAAAAUAUUGAACAAAUCCGCCUUGAGUGUUUCCCAGAACACCUGAAAAAAUCUAAGGUUGAAACCAUCCGGCCCCGGUGCUUUAUCUCCUCCAAGUUGGAAGGUCACUUUUCUUAUCUCUUCCAUGGAGAACGGUAUAGUGAGGUUGCUGUGAUUUAAUAACAGCCUAUCUAAGAACAGCUCGCUCCAAUCACCUGUUGACCGUCUAUCGCCUCCUCCAGGUGCAAACACUCAUUUAAAGUGCACAUAGAAAUAUUCCUUUAAGUCCUCCUUUCUUUGUAGUGUCUUGCUAUCGUCUUCUACUGUUCCGAUGGUGUUCUCCCUUCUUCUCCUAUUAGCCAUAGCGUGAAAGAAUUUCAUAUUUCCAUCACCCUCUUUGAGCCAGUGUUGCCUAGCGCGCGUCUUCCACAGUAUUUCUUCGUCAAGGAUCACUUUUGACAGUUGCCGCUUGAGCUGAUUCCGUCUCUCAACCCGUUGAGUCGUCAGGAGCUGUUGCUCUUCCAAGGUAUCGAGUUUUUGAAUCUCGUCUGAUAAAUCCUUCUUCGUUCUGUAAAUAUGGUAGAAAUGAACCUUGGAUCACUCUUUAAUUCUUUUUCGGCAAUGUCUAAGUUUAGCCGCAAAGGUAAGUGCACUUGGUCCGGUGAGUGUAAGUUCCUCCCACCAUACAGGCACCAAAGAACGAAAAUCCUCACGCGUUAACCAUACUUCCUCGAAUCUGAACAGCCGACGGGACCUCUUAUCCGCAGUAGAUAAAACGAUCGGAGCAUGGUCAUAUGUGAUUCGCGGCAAUGCAAUUGCCUUUGUAAGCGGGAAAGACUGAUCCCACUCAGUGGAAACAAGAAACCGAUCCAACUUGGCCAUGGUAGGACACUGCUGCAUGUUGGACCACGUGAAACUCUGAUUACCCAGUGGGAUGUCGAUAAGCUCCAUAGAAUUUAGUAAAUCUGUAAACAUCGUCAUAAGGCUAGUACUCUAGCUACUCCCUCUUCUCUCAUUUCGAUUUCUGGUAAGAUUGAAAUCACCACAUGAAAUCCACCUUCCACAGCAAUAGUUUUGAAUCUUCAUUUGGAGUUGGGCUACUAUACUCUUAUGAGUACGAUCGUUUUCGUACUUAUAUAUCGUUUCGAUGAUAGAGCAUCCGAAUCGACGAUCCAUACCGUUAAAUAUUAUCUAGAGUAUUUAAAAUUUUUAAACAUUAAAUUUCAUAACUUUUUUUACAUUAUUUAUUUUACGAUAAAAAAAUCUCAAAAUUAAUAAUUUGAAACGAUCGGUAUGAGAUUCUUGUUAGUUUAACAGUGUGAAAGUAUCGGUAUGAGUUGAAUUUUUAAUAAAAAAAAUUCUAUUCACUGUCUAGAUAAAAGAUCAAUAACUCCGAUUUCAAAUUGAAGAAUCCGAUUAUUUAUUUUUAAGAUCUCGUUCGAUUUUGAUCAUCCAUUUUAUACUCAUUUGAUGGACUUUGUUAUGAUUUUAAAAAAUUAUAAAAUUUAAUUUCUAAAAAUUUUAAAUAUUUUAGAUCAUAUUUAAUGAUAUGAAUUGAAUAUGAAAAAAUCUAUGCUAAUAAGAAUAUAAUAGACCUAUUUCUUUAUCGGAUCUAAUUUUUAAAACAUUAAUUUAUUCUCGUGGGCGCGUGUGCGGAGGAGCUAAAUAAAAUUCUCGAUAUUCGUCACUAGUGUGAUUAGUUGCACUGGACCAAUAAUGAGGUAUAGGUCGUAAUCCCACCCACGAACAUUCAAAGACCAACUCAUUUUUAAUUAUCUCCUCACUUUUUUCUUUUUAAUAUUAAAGAUAAAAAAACCGACGAUUCCUAAAACAAGUGUCAAAGGGUUUGAUGGUUGAUACCCAAAACCCAAGUUCGAAUCCUACUUGAUUCACAUUUUUAGCUAAGUUUAUUUCUAAAUAAAAUAAACGAAGCGGGUAGCGUGCUAUCUAUCUCUCUAAAAAAAUAUUAAAAAUAAAAAAAAGUACACAAAAUUCUAGAAUAUUUAGUUUACAAUCUAAAAAAAAAGGGAAUACGACAACUCUUUAUGUUUGAGUUAAUCUACACAUUUUAAAUUUUAAUAUUUAAAAAAAUUGUUGAUAGAACUAGCAUAUAAAAACUUGGAUUGUAGAUGAUCAAAUUGUCGGAUUAUAAUUUUUUUCAUAUUGUAAACCUAGCAUCAAUAGCACACAUAAAUUGCAAACCCUAAAAAAGCCCUCUCUGUGUUUGGCCGCAUGGUUUGAUUUUGAAUUCUCAUUAAUGCUCAUUAGCAUGGUAUAUACAGCGAGUAUUCAUCCUCAUUCAUGCUUAUUUGAAGGGUAAAUACAAUGCAUUCUUUUUGCUUCGUGUGGUGUCCUAUCAGGCACGGUGGUUCACCUUUUUCUUUUUCUUUCUCAUCCACAUUCUAGUCGUUCAUCUUUAUUUUAAUCAAUAUUUCUAAAAUAAUAGAUUAUUUAAAUCUAUAGAUUAUUAAAGCAACAUUUCUCUAGUUCAAUUAAACAUUUUAUUCGGACUCUCAAUCGACUAUGGAUAAUUUGCAUCAACCCAACCGAGUAAGGUGAUAGCUAAUAUUAUUAGUGAUACAAUAGGGCAUUAGAUUUUUUUUAUUAAUAUAUUUUUCUUUACACUGAUAUUUUACUUUAUUUAAAUUAAAAAUUAUUUGGUACAUUUUGGUAAAAUAACUUUUUAGUAAAUUAAUUAUUUUAUUUUUUUUAAAAUCAUAAUAACCAUAUAUGUUGGGAAAUAAACUUGGAGAUUUAAUUAUGAUUUGCCUUUUAACAUCUAGAGGACGUGCAGAUUGGCUGUUGGAUUAAGGGACUCUCAAUCACUAUGGAUUAUUCGCAUCAAAUGAUCAAGACCAUUUCUUGCAAACCACAUGAAAUUAACCAUAUGCCAACAAAAAUAGAAAAAAAUAAAUCAAUAACCAGUAUUCACAAACAACAAUAAUAACAAAGUACAACUAAAAACAAUUAAUGUAGUAAUUAAUUAUGUUUUUAUAUACUAUAACAACACGACCAAAAAAGAAUAAAUUCACAAUUAAAAAAAAGCAUAUCAUAUAGAUAUAAUAAAAAGAGAACUCUAAAGUGGCCACGCGUCACCUUCCCAGCGACCCCCCCUUCUCAGCUCUGCCCGAUCCCUUCGCUUGCGCCGAGCGGGGUCACGUGCCUCCCGCCCCGCCUCUCUCCUCUCGGUAGGCCCAGAUCCGCUGCCCUCCUCUCUCCGAUCCCUCUUCUCUCCGAUCCGAGCCCCACCCCCCCGUCGGGUGUUUGUCGGGCCCUACUCUGACCUCCUCCUGUGCUCGAUGUACGUGCAUUCCAUCGCUGCGCCAGGGUUGGCCAGAGUAUGGGAGUGCCCGCGGUAUCUCUUCUCUCUGCUCCCCAUGUGCAUCCCGAUUCUUCUAUCUCUGCAAUCCCUUCCUCUAAGCCCCGAUUCCGUCCCCGACGCCGCCGGAAGUGGGUGGGGGAUCUGCCCCUUUCUUUCCUCUGCCGUCGUCCUCCCUCCUCCUUCCGGAUCUCUCAACCUACAGUCUGCUCAGGAAAUGGCAAUAAAUAGUCCUAGCACUAUGCAGAGGGGGGCAGCUUGCUUGCUUGCCUAUGUUUGAAAGGUUUGUUGUAGUUGUUUGCCGGUAGCAUCUCCUCUAAUACUCUCUUUACUGUCUUUGUGGCUUCAGCCCUGUCCUGCCAUCAUUCUUCUCGGGCUGUGGCCCCUGCGGAGCCCUAUUGUCACGUCCCGGGGUCCCUUUUUAGUUUGGAAAAACAGCGGAAACGACUAAAUUUUUUUUUGAAACACCUGACCCCAGAGUAUGUCAGAUCCGCCACAAAUACAGGGAAUCCACUGUUCACACGGACAGAGUCUCCCCUGUAUUUGCACGGCGUCGCACAAGUACAAAAGUACAAAUAGUAUACAACCACAACUAAAUGAAUAUACAGAUAGCUAUACAUUCAUACAUUCACCAUUCACACCGUAGUUUUACAUUCAAUGUUUAAACAGAAAUCCACGAAAAAUCCUUUUGAAAACUGUUUCCUACACGGAAACCUUUAUUCGUUAAAAACGCUAUCACGAGGGGUAGAAAACCUUUUAUUUUACAAAAUCCAGAAAUCCACANUAGAACAGCUAAACCGGUCGAAACGAGCUAUUGGACUAAUAUGAACGGAGUCCGAUACGCGCCAGAAGCCAACUCUACUCCGUGGCUUCUCCGGAAAACCGGAGUUACUAUUCACUUAAGUGAAAACUAAAAGUCGCGUAUCUUCUCCAUUUUAGCUCAUUUUCGCCCGAAACUUGACGAGUACUUAUGUAAUUAAAUUACACACAUAAACAUCAUCAACAGAGAGUUUAGUAGCACUGUCGAAAAAAAUCUCAGUCCUUACACCUAUCCUCGCAUUGUUCUUUCCGGACUGUGCCCCGUGCGCGUUGUACUGCUGCCUCAUCACUUUUGGUGAGUGGGCAACAAUCUAUUUGCUUUGGGGUUCUGACUCCCAACGACCUUCUUCGGUCCUAUUAACCUUUUUCUGAAAACCGUGUUUCGACAAAAAAAAUAGGCUUUAUACUUAUCAUAUAAAAAAAACCCAAGAAAAAAAGCUGAACACUUUUGAUUAACUGGGCGGUGUUCUACACGGGCUAAAUUAUUGUGCUCUUUUCUUACCUCUGUUUAGUAGCUAUAACUUAUGUUGGGUUCAGGAUUUCUUUCCCGGCCUUCUUCGGGUCCCUCAGAAAUUUGAAUUUUGCUGUUUUCUAACAAUCACUUAUUAUCGAAGUGCGGUUCCAACAAAGGCAAAAAAAUUAGUCCUUUAUACUUGACACAUAUAAAAGUGGGGUAAAAACAAUUCUGAGGUCUUUUGCUUGGAAUUUUUUGGGUUCCUCCGAAACUGGAAUUUAGCUGUUUGAAAGUCCUAUGUACUUGAUGCAUAAGAAGAAAGGUAAAAAAUUUGCUGGGUGCUUUUGAUGGCUUGGACUGUGUGCUGCUCACUCUAAAGAAAAAAAAAAAAAUUGCUUAGGCCUUUUGAUGACUUGGACUGUGACUUCCGCAUUGUGCGUGGACUUCUUUGGGUCCCUCCAAAUCUUGACUUUAAACCCCCCCCUCACCCCCCUUACCGCCCCCCUUCCCCCUUCAAGCAUUCCGCAUAACCAGCUGGUAAAAUUGCUUAUAUACUUAUGGUUACGCACUUGGAAUGUCUCUGCUGUUGCUUUCGAUAAUUCGCAAAAACGUCCUCUCUGUUAUUUCUACUUAACAUGUCUUGUGGCUAGUUGGGCAAAUAUUUAUGUGACGUUCAUUUAUUUCUGUAAAAAAAAAAAUAACCCAUCUCAUUAAGUACGUAUAAUAAUUUGCCUUUGCAUUGACCCUAGUUUCUGUCUUGGCAGCAGUUAUUGAGAUAUCGGUAAUUCAGCUUUCGAACACUAUGUUACUUGGUGAAAUUGCCGGGAAGCUGGGCGUUGAAACGCCCGAGUGUAUUGUAACUAUAAGAAAACAGACAUUUUGUGGCAAAUCUAAUGGCCACAAAAUGAAACAAAUUCGCCACAAGAGGUCUUUUGUGGCGAAACUGAUUUCGCCACAACUUCGCCACAAUAGGACCGCUACAAAAAGUUUUAAUAGCCAAAAUAAAAUUCGCCAUAAAUUGUUCUAUGAAUUUGCAGCAAUAUAAUUCGCCUCAAUACUUCUAACAUCCGCCACAAUUAGUUAACAUAUGGCUACAGAUAUUGAUUAAAAUAAUAAUAAAAUAUCUAACAUUUUGUGAGAAAAUUAUUUUUGGCCACAAUCGACAUCGUAUAAUUUAUGGCAAAUUUUAAUACCAGCUACAAAUAGUAUUGAAUUUAUUGUGAGGAUAUUUAUUUGUUGGCCACACAUGAUGUCAGAUAUUUUGUGGCAAAAUGCAAUAUCGGCCACAAUUUUAGUUGCAACUAUAGUAGCGAAAUUAAGUACUUGGUUACAAAUAGUCUCGUACAAAUUAUGGCGAAAUAUGUAUGGCUACAAAUAAUAUUAUAUUUGUUAUAGCGAAAUUUAGUUUUGGCUAUAAAUAAUUUAGAAAAUUUUGUGGCCAAAUGUUGUUUCGAUCACUAUAAUCGUUUCAAAUUUUAUAUGUAUAUAAUAUAUUGUGGCUAUUUAUUAUUUUGCCACAGAUAACUUGUAGUAUUAUUUGUUAGUGGGCGUUUUAGCUCUAAAAAAAUAGAUUUUACAGAUUAUCACCGUAUCACACUGAAUACUACUUAACCAGAAUUUAAACAUAAUAUCAAUCACAAUAUUCAAGACAUAUACGCCAUAAUACAAAAAACGACUAUAUGUUCAAGUGCCACAAUCAAAAUAAGCUAACAGUUAAUUGUUCACAUCAAGUAUCAUUUGCACCAAACCACAUAAGUUUUUAAUCUCAUCAAAGUCACAUCUCAUAUUACUGACUUUUUAGAACAACGAAAAAAAAACUCUAAACUAAGAGCGAAAUGAAGUGCCUGAGAUGAUCCAACUUGAAAAUAUUGAGUAUCCAAGACUUAGUCCUAUAGAAUUAAAAAGAAUAGUGAUAAGAAUAGUGCAUAUUAUCUAUUUUUUUCAUCAAAAAGCAAAAGAUACCUAAGACAUACUAAAUUAAAUAUAGUAUAAGCUGAAAUAAUUGCAAUUGUAUAACUUACAUUUUCUGUUGACGCUAGCUGAAAAGUAUAGACAAUCCCAUUUGUGAAAGUUGUUCCAUCAUGCUACGCAUCUGACUAAAUAAUUUAAAGUUAAAUUAUGAAAUCAUAUAAUUUUUAUCACGUGCAUGUUAAUGUGCCAUGCAUUUUACAAAGUCAAUGAUCUUUAUUCCUCUAAAAUAUUACACAUAUUUAUUGACUUAUGAAUAAAAAUAAAAAUAAAAAUAAAAUAAUGAACUCCAAAAUUAGAAAGGGAAAUAAUUAAAUCAAACUUUUAUUAGUAGAAGGAGUGUCAAUCAAAUAAAAAAGGUUUAGGGAUCUUUUUCAAAAUAAGCUAAAGUUCAAAAGAUGUUUAUAUAUUUUGACCAAAAUUACACUUAAGCAUGAGGGCAGAUUUACAUGUAUACCUAUUAAGUAAAUCAUUAACUUUAAACUUUGACCAACAUAUAUAUAUAUAUUUUCACCAAUCUUUCUUUAUAAAAAGUAAAUCAUCAACAUGUAUACCAGAUUUACAUGUAUACAUUUUAACCAACCUUUCUCUAUAAAAAAUAAAUCACCAACUUUAAUCUUGACAAAAAAAAAUUUCUUUUUUUUUAAACUUUGUUUUCUUUUCUCUAACUGUUCAGUAAAUAGUGAGGAUAUAGAUCCUAUCUAAACUAAAUAAGUGCAUAGAUGAUUUUCAGAUGGUUUAAUCCACUAAUAUUUUAUCAUCCGCAAAAAAAACUCACAGAGUAAUAAAUAUUAUUAUAAAUCAUAUAACUCUAAAAAAAAAUUGAUUAUAUAACAUCUUGUUAAACUUAUUAUAAAUACAAAAAAAAUUAAAAAACUAAAAAUCUAAAACUCUUGUUCCUAAUAAAGAAUGGGUUAUGAAUAUAUAAAUAAAAUUGCCAUAUAUUUUAUAUAAGAGUAUAAUCAUUCAAAAUUACAUCUGCAUAUUUUCAAUUAAAAAAAAAAUUCAACACCCAUCUAGAUCUAGAGAGAGAGGGAGGGGGAUAGAAAGAGCAUACUUGCGAGUGUUAGUUGGAAUGAAGAAGACCACGUUGCUCCUGCCGUUCGCGGUGUUGAAUUUGAAGGUCUUGAUCACGAGGUUGUUGCUAAUGCAAAGCGACGCGACAGUUAGAUUUGCAGGAAAUGCAAAUAUGGAGACGGCGAAAAGUUGUGGAAGCAUCCGUAGGAGAUCUCACAAACCCCAUGUUGUUAUCAAUGUCCUCUACAUAGAAGAUGAAAUCUCGAAUAUAAUGUUGCCGGUAAAGCGAGGUGGCACAAGAAACGGAAUCGCCGGAGAAGCCGUGGAAGGUUAAUGGGGUGGACCGGUCGAAGUGGGAGGCAUGCUAUGAAAAAAAUUUAGGAUUUUUAAGUUUGUUUAAGGUGUGUUUCGUUUGAUAUAAAAAAGGGUGAAAACAAAAAUUCGGAUGAAAAAUAAUUUGCAGGUUCAAACUUAAAAAUUUUUUGUCGAUCCCUCUUUUAUUUUCCACGCGAGACCGACAAAAAACGAAAUGCGUAUAGCGAAAAUCGCGGGUCACACCUCAUCUCCUCACGAGCAUGUUUUCACGCGAUCCAUGAGGCCAUUUGGCCUCAUGGACCGCGUGAGAGGGAGGUCCAUGCUGGACCUCCGUGUGUGUGUGUGUGUAGGCCAUGGCUACUAUACUAUUAUGAGUAUUGGAGUCCUCGUACUCAUAAGUUGUUUUCGAUAAUAGAGCUUCCGAAUCGACGAUCCACUCCGUUAAAUAUGAUCUAGAGUAUUUGAAACUUCUAGAAAAUAAAUUUCGUAAAUUUUCGAAAUCAUAAUAAAGUCCAUCAAGUGGGCAUAAAAGGAACGGUCAAAAUCAAACGACGUUCUAAAAAAAGAUGAUUAGAUCCUUCAAUUCAAGAUCGGAGUUAUUGUUCUUUAUCUAUGUAGUGAAUAGAAUUUUCUAUCAAAAAUUCAACAAAUUCCGAUUCUUUAACACCGUUAAACUAGCAAGUAUCCCAUAUCGGCCGUUAAAAAUUGUCAAAUUUGUGACCUCUUGAUCGUAAGGUAAAUGAUGUCGAAAAAUUAUAAAAUUUGAUUUCUAGAAGUUUUAAAUGCUGUAAAUAACGUUUAACGGUGUGGAUCGUCGAUUCGAAAGCUCUAUCAUCAGAAACAACUUAUGAGUACGAGGGCGAUCGUACUCAUUAAUAGUAUAGUAGCCGGACCCUAUAUAUAUAUAUAUAUAUAAUUAUAUAUAUAUAUAUACUAUAUAUAUAUAUAUAUACACUUAUAAUUUACGCGGUCCACGAGGCCAUUUUGGCUUGGUGGACCGCGUGAGAGGGGAUCCAUGCUGGACGUCCCUCUCGUGUCUGUGUCUAUAUAUAUAUAUAUAUAUUAUAUAUAUAUAUAUAUAUAUAAUAUAUAUAUAUAUAUAUAUAUAUAUAUAUAAUUUGUUUAUUUUUUUAUUAUAAUAAUAUUUAUUUAUAUAUAAAGAUAAAUAUAAUAUUUUAUCUAUAAAUUUGUAAUAUUAUUAAUAUUUUGAAAUAUAUAAUAAUUAUAUAUUAUGUAAUAUAUUUAUUAUAAUUUAAAAUAUAUUUAAUCUAUAAAUAGAAAUCAUAAAAAUAAUAUAUAUAAGAUAAUAAUUAAUAUAUAUUAAUAAUAUAUAUAAUAAAAAAUAUAUUAAAUAAUUUUUUAUCUUUUUUUUUUCCUGCAAACCAAAUACUAAACAACUUAAAACUUUUUUUCCACUGAAAAUUUUUUUUCACCGACAUUUGUUUUGUCCACAGUUUUACGUGGAACCAAACGCACCCUUAGAAUUUUUUUCGUUUUGCUCCAGAGGAAAAGCUGAAAAGGCGCUAUAUGCCUUGCAGUACAAGAAAGUUUCAAUAAAAAAAUUAGGGCAACCUUUUGUGGCCAACUAUUAUUUGGCCAUACAUAUAGGAGUUAUUAGUGGAGAAAUUGUAAAACAACAACAAAUACAAAGCAAUUUUUAUGCACAUUUUUACCAUUGUAAUUUUUGUGGCCAAAUAUUAUAACUAGCCACAAAACACAUUUAGAAUUUAGGGUUAAUUUCACUAGUGCCCUUCAAAAGGUUGAUAAUAUCGUAAAUACCCUCACAAAAUCAGUAAUAUCAUAAUUACCUCACAAAAUAUAUAGAUUCUUUCAAAUCUACCCUUAUUUGUAAACUCUGUUAAAUUCAUGUGAGAUUAAAAACUAAUUACCAAUUUUGCCCUUCAUCCUUGAAAGGUAUUGGAGGUUAUAGUAAAAAAAUAUAUAUUCAACUUCCUCAACUAUAGACUAUUUUGAAAAAGAUCCCUAUUUUUUUUCCUUGUGUAAAAACCCCAUUCAAUUUUCAUUUUUUUGAUUUAAAUUAACAACGGUGAAUUUCUUGGAAUUUUCGAAGCCCUAGUCCGCGUGCUGCGGCUAUCUGUACGGCAAACGACGUUUUUGUAAAUAACUUUGCGCACACUCGUCGGAUUGUCGAACCAAGCGUUCCAACGCGUUUAAAAUACCCUCAAUCAGGUUUCUACAUAAUCAAAAUAGAUCAAAACCUCACUUGGGCAAAACCCCUCUUUGGGAUGCCCUAACAUGCCAUUUUUGCAUUUCCCCUAAAUUUAUCUUAUUACUAAGCAAAAGAAAGCUUAGAUACACAUGGAAAGCUCUCUAAUAAGGUUUCAAAGCUUUUAGAACCAUCCCUAGGGCAUCUACUUCGAGCCCUAGAGAUCCACCAUGAGAGGGGUCCAAGACAAUCAUGGAUUUCAUGGUUUCAAGGUCCCUAGAGGGUUUCCUCACUUGUAGAGAGAUCAAAACCCAAAAAUCUAAGGUCUAAACCCAAACUCUAAACUCAUUUUUGCAUUAAGGACUCACCUUUGCCCAAGCUCCACCCAGGCCUUCUUGUUGGAGAGCUUCUAGAGCCACCCAAGCCUCCAAAUCCACCUUCUCCAAGCUUUUCUCCUUCUUCUCCAAGCCCUAGCCCAAGCUUUUAGAGAGGGAAAGAGAGGAAAUGAGAGGGAGAGGAGAGGAGAUGGGUUUUGCUGUGAAAAUAGGAGAGGAAUAGGCCAAAUAACAUGUUGUGACAUUUGCAAUUAGGCCCCUCAACUUAAUUCUGUAGCAGACUUCACCCCUGCUGCCAGAGCCCCUGUGUACCGGUACACGGAUUUGUGUACCGGUACGGGCCUGCGCAGAAGCCCAAACCCGAGAGCAAGGUCGCUCGGUUUCGCAGCUUGUUUACCGAUACACGGGUCCCGUACCGGUACACCUUCGCGCAGACUCAAACCCGAGAGCAACCUGUGCUCGGGUCGCUUGCUGUACCGGUACAGCCAUCAGGCGUACCGGUACACAAUGCUCCAAAUUUCAGGUUUGGCUCCGAUUCGACUCUAUUUCGCGCCGAUCGAUGCCAAACUCAUACUAAUACCUCUUUAACUCAUUUUUACCCUUCCAAACGUGUUGGAAUGCAAAAUGGUACUCACCAAUACAUUUCUCUCGACACUUUAACCAAUUUGAUUAAAGUUCGAUUAUCGUUUUCGGGUUUCGAUACGUUACAUUCUCCACCCCUUAUAUUUAGUUUCGUCCGCGAAACUAGCUUAAUUUAACUUAAAUUCAUACCUCAGUUCAGCUCGUUGAAGAGAUGAGGGUAAUGUUCCCUCAUUGCGCUCUCGAGCUCCCAAGUAGCUUCCCGGUCGUCGUGAUUACACCAACGAAUUUUAACAUACGGAAUCUCGCGAUUUCGUAGCUUUCUUACUUCUCGAUCGAUAAUGUAUGCCGGGAACUCCUCAUAAGUCAUAUCCUCUUGAAUCUUGGACGGUUCAAACGAGAGGACAUGAUCGGGGUCGUGAACAUACUUGCGGAGAUUUGACACGUGAAACACAUCGUGCACUCCCGCAAGCCUUGGUGGUAACGCUACCUUGUACGCCACCGCGCCGACCCGUUCUAGUAUCUCGAACGGUCCAAGGUACCGGGGACUUAGCUUCCCACGGAUUCCGAACCGCUUAAUCCCUCGCAUUGGCGAAAUCUUUAGAAACACGUGGUCUCCAACGGCAAAUUCUAUAUCUUUCCUCCGCUUGUCGGCAUAGCUCUUUUGCCGGGAUUGCGCCGUAGCAAGCCUUUGGCGAACAAGACGGACUUUCUCCUCCGCCUCCCGCACUACAUCGGGGCCAAGAGCCGCCCUUUCGCCCACAUCGCUCCAAUGAAUUGGAGAGCGACACUUCUUUCCAUAAAGGGCCUCGAAUGGCGCCAUCGCGAUACUUUCUUGAUAACUGUUAUUGUACGCGAACUCCGCCAUCGGAAGAUGAUCAUGCCAACUGCCCUUAUAAUCCAGUACACACGCUCGAAGCAUAUCCUCAAGUAUUUGUAUUGUCCUCUCCGAUUGACCAUCGCUUUGAGGAUGAAAUGUCGUGCUAAAGUCGAGCCGCGUGCCCAAAGCCUCCUGUAGGCUCCUCCAAAAGUAAGAGGUGAACCUCGGGUCCCGAUCCGACACAAUAGACACGGGCACCUCAUGAAGUCUCACAAUCUCGUCAAUAUACACCUGAGCCAACUUGUCCCCCGACCAUAUAAUAUGAAUCGGUAGGAAAUGCGCCGACUUCGUCAACCGGUCCACGACAACCCAAAUUGCAUCGUGCCCACCUUGAGAUCGCGGCAACCCGGUCACGAAGUCCAUUGCAAUAUUUUCCCAUUUCCAAACGGGUAUAGGUAAACUUUGCAAUUUUUCCGCCAGAAACCGUUGCUCCGCUUUUACUUGUUGGCAAGUAAGACUUUGCGCAACAAAUUCCCCAAUGUCUUUCUUCAUGCCCGGCCACCAAUAGUGCAACAUCAAAUCUUGAUACAUUUUGGUGCCGCCGGGGUGUAUACUAUACGGGGAUUGGUGCGCCUCUUGCAUGAUCGCCCUACGGAUAUCCUUAUUCUUAGGCACACACCAACAAUUUCUAAACCGGAGUGCGCCGUCGGUCCCAAUGCCAAAAUCAUCGGCACUACCGCUCUCAACUUCCUCGCGCACCUUUUGGAGAUAUUCAUCUGAAGUUUGCAACUCUUUAAUCUUCUCCAAUAGCGUCGGUUGAACAACCAACGCCGCAAGUGUCGCCUGUACUCCCGGUGCUACCACCUCCAAUCCAAGCCGUUGCAUCUCCUUUUGUAGUAAUGGCUGGGGUGUAAUUGCCGAAGCCAGAUUUUCCCCCGAUUUUCUACUAAGUGCAUCGGCCACGACAUUCGCCUUCCCAGGGUGGUAUAGAAUAGUAACAUCAUAGUCUUUCAACAAUUCUAACCACCGCCGCUGUCGCAUUUUCAACUCCUUUUGGGUGAACAGGUACUUAAGGCUUUUGUGAUCCGUAUAGAUCUCACAGUGUUCCCCGUACAAAUAAUGCCUCCAUAGCUUUAGCGCAAAAAUAACCGCCGCUAGCUCAAGAUCAUGAAUAGGGUAGUUCUUCUCAUAAGUCUUCAAUUGGCGUGAAGCAUAAGCUAUAACCCGCCCAUUUUGCAUCAAGACACACCCGAGUCCCACGUAGGAAGCAUCACUAUAUACCACAAAGGUCUCCCCCGGCGUCGGUAGAGCAAGCACCGGGGUCGUGGUCAACCUUUCCUUUAACUCCUCGAAGCUUCGCUCGCAUUCGGGGCUCCAAACAUACUUCACCCCUUUGUGUGUAAGGCGCGUUAGUGGAGUAGUUAUUUUAGCAAACCCCUCCACGAACCGCCGGUAGUAGCCCGCUAGCCCUAGGAAACUGCGGACCUCCGAUACACUCGUCGGGCGAGGCCAAUCCUUAAUUGCCUCCACUUUCCCCGGAUCCACCGAGAUACCAUCGCCCGAAAUUACAUGACCAAGGAAAGUGACCUCCGAUAGCCAAAAGUCGCAUUUCUUCAACUUGGCAUAUAACUUCUCUUUUCGGAGUAUUUCCAACACGGUCCUCAAGUGCUCCUCGUGUUCUUCCUCGGUCCGAGAAUAUACCAAUACGUCGUCAAUGAAUACCACGACGCACCGGUCCAAUAGCGGACGGAAGACUCUAUUCAUUAAGUCCAUGAACGCCGCCGGGGCGUUAGUAAGCCCAAACGGCAUCACCGUGAACUCAUAAUGGCCAUACCGCGUACGGUACGCCGUCUUGUGCACAUCCUCGGGCCGUAUCUUCAACUGAUGAUACCCCGAUUGAAGAUCAAUCUUUGAAUAUACCCUUGACCCCUGCAGCUGAUCGAAUAAAUCAUCAAUCCUCGGCAGCGGGUACUUAUUCUUCACGGUGACCUUGUUCAACUCGCGGUAAUCCACGCAGAGUCGAAGUGUGCCGUCCUUCUUCUUAACGAAUAGCACCGGAGCUCCCCAAGGUGACACACUCGGCCUCACAAAGCCUUUGUCGAGCAAGUCUUGCAACUGUGCCUUAAGCUCUUUUAGCUCCGCCGGUGCCAUUCUAUACGGGGCCUUCGAGAUUGGCGCCGCCCCCGGGACCAAGUCAAUAACGAACUCGAUCUCCCGGUCCGGGGGCAAUCCCGGUAACUCCGCCGGAAAUACAUCCGGAAAUUCGCAUACCACCCGAAUGCCUCCCAAAUCCGGGUGUUCUCUUUGGGCUUCUACCAUUGUCGCCAAAUAGGCUACACAACCACCUUUUAUCAUUUUCCUCGCCCGUGCCGCCGACACGGUCGCCGCGAAAAGUGAGCUUUUAGCUGCCUGAUACACUAGCUCCUCUCGGUUAGGCUCACGAAACGUGAUCACCUUACUCUCACAAUCUAUCACGGCAUAAUAUUUGGAGAGCCAGUUGGUCCCCAAGAUCACGUCGAAACCCCACAUCCGGUUCAACACCAAUAGAUCAAUCGGCAUGACCCAGUCACCUAUCUGCACUGGGCACGCUACACAUUCUUCGUGAACAUGAAAAGUAUGCUUGACCGAAUUUACCGUCCAAUAGUCAUAAUGGUGCACGAUCUUAAUGCUAUGAGUCCUAACGAAUGAUGCAUCUAUGAAUGAAUGCGAUGCACCUGUGUCGAAUAAAGCUCUAGCUCUGGUGCCUCUGAUCGAGAUAAUACCUGCCACGAUGUCGUCGGGGACAUGAAUCGGCUCCUUCUGCACCUGAGUGGCAAAAACCCGCCCACUCGGUGCCCUCGAUGCCUCCGGCUGACGCGAAGAAGAUGAACGUCCAGCCGACAUAGCCAGUGGUAACCCCGCCUGCUGUCUCGGGGUAUAAGGAACUGAUGCCGAGGUAGGUGCAGAAGAACCCCAGCUUUGGCACUCCCGCGACAUGUGCCCGGGCUGGCCGCACCUGAAGCACUUUCCCUCGCGCUGCGGGCAUACCGGUGGCCGAUGAUCGCCACUGCAAAUGACACAACGGAACGGCCUACCACUCCUCGACUGCUGUCGGGGAUACUGAGGGGGUUUCUUUGCAUUUGACCGGCCCCCGGCACCGCUCACCGCCCGCUUCUUCCCCUUGUCCCUUAACUCCGCCAUUGCCUCGCGCUCCUCUCGCACGUGGGCGCUGCCGUGCUCCGCCCACAGGGCUCGAUCAAAGACCUCCGCAAAGGUCGUCAACUUGAGGAUUUGCACCCUGUCACGCCCCGGGACCGAUACCAAUUUGGCUCGACCCGAGCACGUCAAACAGACGCCGAACGGAUAGGGUUUCCCCUAUCCGUCCAAGGCUCAUCACGCGUACAAAUUCAAACAAGAAAUGCACUAGCGGAAACAUACACAAACGGCUUACACGAGGAUAAGCAAUAGCCAUUAGUGAAAGAAAGGAAAACUAAACAUUUACAAGUACUAUGAUUCAUUUUUGAUCAUAUACAUUGCAUCCAUUUACAUUCAUGAUUCUUUAUACUUCAUUACACAUUGCAUCAUUUCAUUCUUACAUCACACUUACCUCAAAAUAAGCUUUACAUUCCUUUCUCAACAUCACUAGUCAUCAAAUACAAAAGAUGAACAUAGGGUACUCUUCCAACAAAAUAUAAACCCAACUUUGGUGGCCUCUGACUAAGGCACGAUACCUUUACCUCGGUCGCUCGCCGGCUCGCUCGGUCCCGGCUCUGUGGAAAUAGUGGGGUGAGAACUACAACAAAGUUCCCAGUGGGCUCGGCCUCAACAUCACCGACUUUCCCUCUAGGACUAACUUAGGCAUAAUAGAAAGGAUAAGCUGAAAUAUAGUAACCAAUCUACAACAUGAUGCUAGUAUGCCUGAACAAUAAGCAAGGAAUAUGCUCAACAUUAACAUAUGCAGAUUAUGCAAGUUCUUUGUUCUUUUCACGUUACUCUUUGUUUUUUGUUCUUUGCUCUUUGUUCUUUAUUCUUUAUUCUUUAAUCUCAAGGCUAACCCGGGGGUUUCGCCACAUUAACUUGCUUCACAUUAAGUCCAUCAUCGCAGGAACUCACCCGCUAGGACCGUCCUUCGGGUUUACUCCAACCCGUGAUGCAUAACUCCGGAGCGCAUCGCCCGAGGGGGAGCGACCGCCCUCGAGCACGGAACUCAUAGCAAGUAUGAUCAUAUCCUUAACUCAAAGGAUUUAUAAGUUCAAUCUUGACUUUACACUAGCUCUAGUGUUCUUUCAUCACUUUUUGUUGCCACUCUAGCAAUCAUUGUUCUUUACCAUUCAUUACUCUUGCUAACUCUAGCAAUUAUAUUCUUUACAUUCUUUACUUUUGGCUACCUCUAGCACUUCAUGUUCUUUACUCCCCACAUUACUUUAACUUUAAACAUUGUCAUUUUCAUCAUUCUUUACAUUACAUUGGUUCUUUACCUCACACUAUCUCUAGUGUCAUUUCACUUUAACUUUAUCGAAUGCCACUCGAUCUAUGUCAUUGUGUCACUCUGUUCUUUUGCUCACUUUGGGUGCUCACUUUUCUCUCAUGCAUACACAUAGGGUUUUCGACGUUUACAUAGUUCUCAUUCAUCAUAUUAUGCAAGUUGUACUCACAAUCAUGCAUCAUUACAUUUUCAUCAUUACUUUACCCUAAAAUGCAUGCAACAAUAUAUAUACACAUGCUCAAAUGAAUGACACAUUAGGCAUAGAGAGAAGUUCAAUGAGUUUGAGAAGCACCACCCACCUCGUAGGCUUUCAAAGGUGCUCCGACGAUUUUCUUGAGAUUUAUAGGCUCCUCGUUCUUCACCUGCGGCAAAACGAAGCCAACUUAGGCCAUUUUGCCCAUAUCUUUCUAUAAACUUUUCGUAACGUUAAUCCGAGCGCACCAACGCGUCGGAAAUACCCCCAAUUAGGUUUCUAGAGGGUCAAUUGCACUUAGAAAUCCCCAUGAGCAAAAGCCCCAAUUUGGUGCCCUAGCUCCAAUACAUAUAUCAAACCUAGGGUUUGAUCUCAAUGGGAAGCAAAAAGAGCUUCAUUAUCCUCUAAAAAGUCCAUUAGAACCAUCUUUAAACAAAUCAAAACCCUACUUAGGGUUUCACCAUGAGAGGUGAUGAAGCUCACGUCAAGCUUCACCAUUUUCAUGGUCUUGAUCUCUAAAAAAGCAAAAGAAAAGCUUCCAAUACUCUAAAAGUUCUAUAAAAACCAUCCUUGCUCUAAUCCAAACCCUAGUUUGGGAUUUAACAUGAGAAGGGGCAAAGCUUACCUCUAAGCUUGCUCCUUCCUUGCUCUAGAGAGGAAGAAGAUGAAGUUGCUUCACUCCAAUAGCUUCUUCUCCACUUUCUUCUUCUUCUUCUUCCUUCCUUUCCUUUGUUUUCUUCUCCUUCUUUGUCUUCUAGAGAGAGAGAGAGAGAGGGAUGAGUUUGGGUGUGAGGAAAUGAGAGGGAGAGGCUCUCUCAGCCCUAAACAUGACCCACAUAAUGCAUUUUUACAGAUAAGUCCCUCAGCUUUUAUCUCAUUACACUGCCCGAACUGGGCAGUUCGCGCAGCCGGGGGCCGGUCUCUCCUUCAGGGACCGGUUCCCGAAGGCUCUCCCCGCGCAGCCAGAGCUGUUGCGGGCAGGGCAACCGGUCUCUCUUUGGGGGACCAGUCUCUCGGGGACCGGUCUCUCAGGCAGGGACCGGUUCCCGAGAGCUGGUUUCUCAAGACUUAGCCGAUUUUUCGGCUGUUUCAAUUCAUACGCGUUCGGGGACCGGUCUCUCCCACCAGGGACCGGUCCCCGAGAGCUCAAAACUGCUGAAUGCAGAUUUUGAUUCUAUAGCUCUCGAAAACCUCCCGUAACUCGCUUUUAAUCAUUUCAACACCUUCGGACUUUCCGAAGUGUACCAUCCUCACUUUGGUCAAUUUGACUAAAGUUCGACAUCUUUAUUUUCCGAAUUUUCGGUAUAUUACAUUCUCCACCCCUUAAAAUAAUUUCGUCCGUGAAAUUACGCAUACCUUAACUCGGCGACUUAAACAUAUGCGGAUAUUCUCGCCGUAUGGUUUCUUUGAGCUCUCAAGUGGCUUCUCGCGCCGCGUGGUUGCUCCACUGGACUUUCACAUAAGGGAUUUUGCGACUCUGCAACUUCCUAACUUCUCGAUCGAGGAUGCACACCGGGUACUCCUCGUAUGACAUAUCCUUACGCAACUCCACGGGCUCGUACUCCAAUACAUGUGUCGAGUUGCGAAUAUACUUUCGGAGAUUGGACACAUGAAACACGUUGUGAACUCCCGCGAGUCUCGGUGGUAGUGCGAGCUUGUAUGCCACCGCACCCACACGUUCUAAUACCUCAAACGGUCCGACAUAACGGGGACUUAGCUUCCCACGGACCCCGAAUUGUUUGACUCCUCGCAUUGGCGAUACUCUCAAAAAUACACGGUCUCCAACCGCGAACUCUAAAUCCUUUCUCCUCUUGUCGGCAUAACUCUUUUGCUGAGAUUGCGCCGUCGCCAACCAUUGACGGGCAAGGCGAACUUUUUCUUCCGCCUCCCGCACCACAUCUGGGCCAAGAGUCGCCCUCUCGCCCACAUCGCUCCAAUGGAUAGGGGAACGACACUUGCGUCCAUAUAGUGCCUCAAAGGGCGCCAUUGCUAUACUUUCUUGAUAACUAUUAUUAUAGGCGAACUCCGCCAUCGGCAAGAAAUCAUGCCAUCCUCCUUUAUAAUCUAGUACUGUCACGCCCCGGGGUUCCUUUUAGUUUAAAACAUAGCGAAAAAGCGUCUGAAUUUUUUUUUUUUUUUCGAAAAGCCUGAUCCCAAAGUAUGCCAGAUCCGCCACAAACACAGGGAAUCCACUGUUCAUACGGACAGUCUCCCCUGUAUUUGCACGGCGUCGCACAAGUAUAAGAAGUCACCCAGGCACAACCACAACAAAUGAACAUACAAAUAACCAACCGUUAUAUAUAUAUUCAUACACUAUUCACCACAGAUUCACAUUUAUGCAUUCAACAUUUAAACAUAAAUCCACAUCUAUCAGUAAAAAUGUUUCUAACCACAGAAACAGAUUUUGAAAUACUACGAUGCAAAAACCACAUAAAACCUUUGAAAACUGUUUCCUACACGGAAACCUUUAUUCUUUAAAAACGCUACCACGAGGGGUAGAAAACCUUUCAUUUCAUAAAAUCCAGAAAUCCAUUUAUUACAUUCACGAAAAUCCAUAUUUUCGAAUGUAAACAAACACUGAACCACAUGAACCAACUAAACUAUACAUCAACCGAAGUAAGAAGGGUAAGAAACUAAACCGAAAUAACCUGGGUCGGAAGCUCUAUCGACCGCUACACGCGUACCUCACG
rnacentral:lncRNA from 1 species